GGGUAGUCCCAGCUGUAAACGAUGCGGGCUAGGUGCUGGAGGGGCUACGGGCCCCUCCAGUGCCGCAGGGAAGCCGUUAAGCCCGCCGCCUGGGGAGUACGGCCGCAAGGCUGAAACUUAAAGGAAUUGGCGGGGGAGCGACCACAAGGGGUGAAGCCUGCGGUUCAAUUGGAGUCAACGCCGGGAACCUUACCAGGGGUGACAGCAGGAUGAAGGUCAAGCUAAAGACUUUACCAGACGAGCUGAGAGGAGGUGCAUGGCCGUCGCCAGCUCGUGCCGUGAGGUGUCCUGUUAAGUCAGGCAACGAGCGAGACCCCCACGCUAGUUGCUACCAUCUCCCGAAA
rnacentral:rRNA from 1 species